rnacentral:lncRNA from 1 species
GUAAUCUAGUGAUAAAGUAAAAAUUAAUGCUGAUUUUUAAUGGUGUUAAAUUGUUAAUGCACAGAUUUCCUAAGGAUGCUGAGCGAAGGCUGGAGUGGUGUAAUGCAGUGCAGAUGCAGACGGCAGCUCUGGAGCCGUUCACUCUGUCCUGUAACAGCGUGCUGUGCAGUAAACACUUCACCGAGGACAUGUUCGACCGCACUGGCCAGACUGUCCGUCUGAGAGACACUGCCGUACCCUCUGUCUUUAAUUUACAAAUCACUAAGAAAGUAAAAGAUGAAGCUACAAAAGAGAUGAUUCCACACAAAAGGAGAAACAGUGCACAUCUGCUGAGAAGAAGAAGAAAGAAGAAUUGGGAAGGAAGCAAUAAAGAGAGAAUACAAAGCACAGCCUCAGGUCUGGGAGAGUUGGCUCUGGCGGCUGAGCUGAUGGAGGAGAGCCAGCAGGAGAUUCAGAAAGGAUUCCAGAACGACCACGGUGGCCUUCCCCUCCCGUCCGACCCGGCGAGACUGAGCGUUCUGGUGCGAAACCUGGCGAAAGAGAGACACUGGCAGGGGGAGACGCUGCUCUCGCUCCGCAAAGAGCUCAAAACCAAGGACGCUCAGCUGCAGGAGAAGAAGGUCACUCCAUCCUCUCGUGCGAGCAUGUUCACUGUGAAGGCUCUGUGCCGUGGUUCGGUGAAGUGGCUCCAUUUCUACACUGGUUUUAAAUCGUACGCUCGUUUCCGGGCUCUGCUGGCCUUCCUGCAGGGCUCCGAUGGAUCCGUCCUGCACUGGAAUGAUCGGGAGGAGGAGGAGGAAAAGAGCUUGGAGGAUGAAGGGAUGAGUGAGAAGAUGGAGAAGAAUCCAAGUUCAGACCAAACUUCAACGGAAGAGUCGAGGCUUCAGGUAUCAGAGGAUGAUGCUACAGCAGCAGCAGGACCUGAUUCUGGAGGCUGGAGGUGGGAGGAGACAGCGGAGACGGUGAGGCUGAGGCUGAUUGGUUCUCAGCGGGGUGAGGAGAGCAGACGCUACGCCCUCAGCCCGGAGGACCAGCUGCUGCUGGUGCUGACCCGCCUCCGCCUGGGCCUCCUCACCUCAGACCUGUCCUUCCGCUUCCAAAUAGCAGAGGCCACCGUCUCCCGCAUGUGGGUGCAGUGGGUGGAGCUCCUGCGGAAGAAGCUGCAGCAGAUCCCGGUGCGCUGCAGUCCUCAUUACGUCUCCGUAUUUCAGCCUAAACACACUCUGUCCUGUGUUUCGGGUCGUCAGCUGACCGUCCUGCACUGCGUGGACCUCUUCUGUAGCUCCUCAAAACGGGACCGGCAGCAGGCGGCCAGAAGGCUACGCCCCUCCUCAGACGGGCAGCACCUAUCAGCUCUGCCGUAUCGAUUUCCCUGCCCGGUCCGUGUCUGCGCCGUGGCCUCGCCGGAGGGCUACCUGGGCUUCUGCAGCUCCGCCCGCCUGGACGAGUGGCAGGAGUGGACAGCCAAUCAGGAUAACCCAAAGCCUUUAACCUUACCUGCGUUUGUAAUGAAUGGGGAGGGGGCGGAGCCUCUCGCUGGUAUGCCAGUAAGGGAAGUGCUGAGUAUUAAGAGUCUGACGGACAAAGUGAUGAAAUAUCAUUAUCUGAGGACGGUUCAUGCACACGGGUCAGAGGCUCUGCUGGACCAGGCCUGGGAGGUGUGCUGCUACCUGGCCUGCCUACUGUAUCAGCCAAUGGGGCUGCGCUAACUGCAGGUCACUAGCCAAUAGGGCUCCAAGAUACUGGAAAAAUAAUUUUUGGCUCUGCAGCGUAUAUUGCUGUUAGUGUUGUUGUCAAGACCACUAGACCUGAUUCAAGACCAAGACUUGUAGGUAUUUGAGUCCAAGUCAAGACCAAAAGUUUUGGUAGUUAAAUCUGAGUCCAAGACCAAGACUUCUAGUUGUUGAGUCCAAGUCAAGACCAAGACUUUUGGUGAUCAAGUCCAUUUCAAAAUCAAGACUUUUGGUAGUUGAAUCCAAGUGAAGACCAAGACUUUCAGUUGUUGAAUCCAAGUCAAGACCAAGACUUUUGGUUGUUGAGUCCAAGACUGUUGGGCAUUGAGUCUGAAUCAAGACCAAGACUUUUGGUAGUUAAAUCUGAGUCAAGACCAAGAUUUUCAAUUGUUGAGUCUGAGUCAAUACCAAUAUUUUGUUAGUUGAGCCAGAGUCAAGACCUGGACAUAUUGAGUCCAAAACAAGUCUUUUGGUAGUUGAGUUAGAGUCAAGAUGAGUUCAAGUCAUAGAGUCCAAGUCAAGACCAAGACUUGGACAUAUAAUAUUAUUUUUUUAUUAGUAAGAUGAAUUAUUAUAAAAACAGCAGUUUAAACUGAAAAGAAAGUGUCAUUUUACCUGCACAAAACAUUGCAUAACACAAAUUGUUUGUUGAAGUUUUAACAAUGUCUUUUUCAUAAUUAAGGCAUUUUAUGUAUUCAUUUAACUCCUGUAUUUUCCUAAAAAAAU